UCAGCAGCAUCCAUGGGCCCCGAUUCUUCCCCAAGCAUCUCCGGUGCCCGUGCCCAGUCCGUGCCCGGUUCCUCUGUUAAUACCUGUCCCCCAGCAUCCAUUUCCUCUUCCAGAUCCCCAUCUGAAUCCUCCUCAGAAGACUCCCCAUCAGUCUCCCUGACCCUCUUCCUAAACAAAUCCUCCAACGAGCCCUCCUCGCGAGGGAUUUUCCUUCCUCUCCUAAUCCCACCACCAUCAUCCGCAGUCUCCAAAGGCACAUUCACAACAAUGGGUUUGUUGCAAAAGAUUGGAAAAUGGAAACCAUCUAUAGUUGCAAUACUUAUGAUUUUUUUUACUGAAUGUGUAUUAAUGCCUUUUUUGUCUCUGAAGUUUCCAAAGAGAAAGACUAUCUCAUACUGAAUGAACUCCAUGAGUAUUGUUCUUUUAGCUCUGAACUCUAGAGAAGAAACAGAUAAUGUGUAAAGGAAAUAGUAUAGUCUUGCAGAUAUGUAUAAACAUAUUGAUAAGGCUGUAUGUGUUAGAUUGAGUCUGACAACACACUAGGAUUCACAUUCCUGUUCUCGACAUGAGAGACAGAAAUGUAGUUUUAGGUGCAUUUGAACAAGGAUUAAAAGGAAUGGCUAAUGGUUGGGCAGGAAGGUGGAUUUACAAUUGCAUUCCAACCUUUUUGCAUUUUAUGUGUUAUUUGAGAAAUAUUCUGGCUGAAGUACUGAUCUAGCUCUUCAAGUAAGAAUUUACUUAAAAUUAAUUUCUCAUAUUUAUUAUACUGUUUUAAAAAUAAGGUAUUGUUAUGGUUGAGCCUUAUGGCUCCGAUACUGGGAGACGUGGUCGUAAGACUCCUCGGGAGUCAGAUACUCUCGAGGAGCGAGAAAGGAAGCGGCUGCGGGACUUAUUUGCAGAACCAUCUGACGAGGAUUCCUUUGAGGGUUUUACUGAGAGAAUGGAGGAAGAGAUGGUUAGCUCAGAGGAGGAUGACAUGGAAUGGACUCGUGUGAGGGAGGAGUUGGGUGCCACUGGCAAUGAUAGUAUGGAAGGCGAUUGGGGACCUUCAGGAUUAGACCCGUGGACAAGCUGGAGGGAUGGGACGGGAUCCACAGCUGGGGAUGCUGUGGGGCGUAGUCAAAGGUGUUUCAGUUCUGAUGAGGAAAGUGAUGAGGAAACGCCUGGAAUUAGGGUAACAGCUGAUAGUGAUGAGGAGCUGUAAACUGGCAUAAAAUGGGGUUUGGAAGCAAUGGCUAAUUGCGUUGGGCAAGGUAAUCUGGACGAACGCUUGGGCUCUGUGUGGGAAAUUCCUGAAGACGGGUGUGAUUCGUUUGCUGACUACCUUGGACCUCCGUCGUCUUCUUGACGGACGCCAUCUGUUUAUUCUGGACUGACUGACUGACUGACUACGGCCUCGGACUCUCCUUCCUGUGAUUAUCGUUGGACCUGGUGAACUACAAACGUCUGUACCUGCCUUACGACCUCCGGACCGGAUUGGAACUUCGCUGACCGCUUCUGCCCUUGAAUGCUGCGUUUGUAUCUGGAAAUUGCUUGCUGUGUGGAGGAGUAACCUCUUAGUUACUCAAACAUAGCUUUUGGCAGCAGAGAAGCAUCUGCUGCCAGUUUUUUGUAUUCCUUUGAACCUUUUGUUCACCAGCUUUUGUUUGUUUUAGUCCCAGGCUGAAGUAAGCUUUUUUGGUUUAACCCGGAUUAAACUCCGGUUUAAUCCGGUUUAUCUUUUGAACGUUUUCCUUGUGUCUUUUUACUUUUAAGGCCAAUGUUUGCCUAGCCCUUGUCUUUUACGGGCAUUUUUGGUUCUGUAACUCCAAUAAACUUUGUUAUAUCUUA